GAUGAACGCUAGCGGCAGGCUUAAUACAUGCAAGUCGAGGGGCAGCGCAGUGUAGCAAUACAUGGGCGGCGACCGGCAAACGGGUGCGUAACACGUACGCAACCUUCCCGUUACUGUGGGAUAGCCCAGGGAAACUUGGAUUAAUACCACAUAUUGCCAUUGAGAGGCAUCUCUUGAUGGCCAAAGAAUUUCGGUAACGGAUGGGCGUGCGGUUGAUUAGGUAGUUGGCGGGGUAACGGCCCACCAAGCCUACGAUCAAUAGCUGAUGUGAGAGCAUGAUCAGCCACACGGGCACUGAGACACGGGCCCGACUCCUACGGGAGGCAGCAGUAAGGAAUAUUGGGCAAUGGACGAAAGUCUGACCCAGCCAUGCCGCGUGAAGGAUGAAGGUCCUCUGGAUUGUAAACUUCUUUAGUUGGGUAAGAAGCGAAAGUGACGGUACCAACAGAAAAGCACCGGCUAACUACGUG
rnacentral:rRNA from 1 species